GUGAUAAGAGGAGCGGGUUGGCAGAAGUUGGCGUACAGGUAAGUCCACUUUUCUUUUUUUUCCCUGAGUGUUUUUUUUUCUUCCAGUUCUCCUCCUCCUGUCACCCCCGCACCGCCACCCUCUCGUCUCUCCCGCCGGCAGCCGAGUGAGGGGAAGGUGAGGUCACCGCUCAUUGGCUGCCCGGGUGAAAAAAAGCAGGCCGCUGAUUGGCUGGAGAGUGACCAGAUCACAAACCAUUGCAAUUGCAUUAGAGGAAAAGAACGCUCCGGGUUCAGUUUAACCGUCAGUGGUGUCGUCGUGCGUGCGUGUGUGUUGCAGGUAUGUUCUUCUCGACUCAUUUGUUUGUCAGAGCAGCUGCGGCCUUUGCAGCACUCUCCGUGUUGUGUGUGCUAGAUAAAUACAGGUGGAGUCGUUUUUCCUCAACCCAGCAUACAAACUUAACAUUGGGAUAGGGAGGUGGAGUUAAAAGAGUUAAUAAUAAUUGUGAUAGCAAACCACGUACUUUUUAGUCGUUUCCACGAGACAUUAUGACAGUUGAAACAUGGCGACUGCAAGCAGGCACGGGCAUGACGUCGGCUCCCAAGACGCUCAAGAAUUCCCUUGCCUCCUCCUGUGUUUCUAAAAGAAAAAAAAUAAAAUGCCUGACGUUUUUUUUUUUUACUUGUCCGGACUUGGCCCGUGGAUUGGGAGUCAGCCUGUUUGGCGGCUCUAGAAUCACGAGCGAGUGCAGGCAGGUGAGAUGGACAGACGGAGAGAAAAUAUUUCACACAGAUGUGAAGGACAAUUCAAUAUUGCAGUUAAUAAAAAAAAGAAAAAGAAUUCCUGACUCAUGGCAAUUCACAUUUAUUCAUUAUUAUCUACUUUGUUGUCCUUUGCCUAUUCAUGAUCAGAUUAUAUAUUUGCCUAUUAUUUACAGUAUUUUUUUAUUUCCUCACUGUAAAGAAUGAAAUAAAAAAACAACAUAUGUAUUUUUAGUUGAUGAAAUAAUUGGCUCCCAGAUUAGAAACGCAGCUCUCAAGCAUAAAAGUCUGCCCCCCCCCCCCCCCCCUCAAUCCAAAACAUACCGCAUCACGCAGAUUGGUGUUAUUGUGACUGCGCAGCGUUGAGUGUGUGCAGUUCGACUGGUCUGGCAGCAUCGUGGCCAAACCGGUUGGUUGGAAACGGGAGGCUGAAAGGAGAGGAAGUGUCAAAUGAAGAAGGUUAAGAGGUAGCUUCCUCUUACGGUCUGGAAUAAUUCUUUCACGUGACACAGGCUGAGGUGCUAACUUGUGGAUUUGGGGAACAUACGUUGGACCUGAAGGGACGAAAAGAAAUCCCGUUUGUUUUCAAAGCUGUCAUGUAUUUAUUUUGUCCGCUUGUCUAUGCUUCCGUCAUUUAAUUGCCUUUGUGUCAGUUUCACAGUAAACUUUAACCCGGAGUGGCAAAUGAACAA